GGCCACAAACACAGUAUUCAAAGACGUCCCCGAAAUUCAGCCGUGGUGCAGUUACAGCCACUCCGAACCAUCGCACAUUGAGCUUCCCCCAAACGCGCUGUUUCGGUGGGCGUGUCAAGGCAGGUCAAGGAGGGGGGUGGGGGUGUGGCCCUGAGCAGCUUGUAGCCACAGUACCAUGCGCUCUGGUUACGGUGGAUGUAUCGCAAUGGCUCGUAGAAACCCAUAUUAUACAGAUAUCUAUAUAAUAUAAUAUAUAAUAUACAUUAUCACCUGGCCCUGAGCAGCUUGUAGCCACGGUACCAUGCGCUCUGUUUACGGUGGAUGUGUCGCAAUGGCUCUUAGAAACCCAUAUUAUACAUAGAUAUCUAUAUCAUAUAAUAUAUAAUAUAUAUUAUCACCUGGCCCUGAGCAGCUUGUAGCCACGGUACCAUGCGCUCUGUUUACGGUGGAUGUAUCGCAAUGGCUCUUAGAAA